rnacentral:rRNA from 1 species
GAUGAACGCUAGCGGCAGGCUUAACACAUGCAAGUCGAGGGGCAGCACAGAUAGCAAUAUUGGGUGGCGACCGGCAAACGGGUGCGGAACACGUACACAACCUUCCUUUUAGUGUGGGAUAGCCCAGAGAAAUUUGAAUUAAUACCACAUAGUAUAUUGGAGUGGCAUCACUUUGAUAUUAAAGAUUUAUCGCUAAAAGAUGGGUGUGCGUAUGAUUAGGUAGUUGGUAGAGGUAACGGCUCACCAAGCCUUCGAUCAUUAACUGGUGUGAGGGCAUGACCAGUCACACGGGCACUGAGACACGGGCCCGACCCCUGCGGGAGGCAGCAGUAAGGAAUAUUGGUCAAUGGACGGAAGUCUGAACCAGCCAUGCCGCGUGAAGGAUGACGGCCCUCUGGGUUGUAAACUUCUUUUAUGUGGGACGAAAAAGGGCCAUUUUUGGUCAACUGACGGUACCAUAGGAAUAAGCACCGGCUAACUCCGUGCCAGCCGCCGCGGUAA